CAGGCGGCUCCCUGUCAUGGAGUGUGCUGCAUUGCCUUUACAGGAGACAGCAGCUCAAAGUGCAGCACUGAGGCCAACCCCACCCGCAUCUGGCAGCUGAUGUCAUCUGUCUGGAAAGAGAUGGGGUUGAAGGUUGGACUGUUACUAGGUGGAUAAAGAAUUGGCUGGAAGGUCGCAGCCAGCGGGCUGUGAUCAAUGGUCCAGGUGGAGGCCAGUCACAAGUGGUGUCUCACGGAGGUCUGUCUUGGGACUGGUACUCUUCCAACACCUUUAUCAAUGACAAAGAUUGAGGGAUCGAAUGUACUCUCAGCAAGUUUAAUGAUGAAACCAAGCUGAAUGGCGCAGUUGAUAGAUCAGAAGGAAGGGAUGCCACCCAGAGGGACGUAGACAGGCUUGAGAAGUGGGAGCACAGGAAUCUAGUGAGGUUCAACAAAUUCAAGGUGGAUCAAAGUUUUCAUGUUUAUAGACUUGGAAGUGGAAGAACUAAGGCAAAGCCAGUCGUCAACAAGAAUGGCUUGGGCUCAGAGAGACCUUAGAGAUCAUCUAACUCCAACCCUCUGCCAUGCUCAGGGACACCUUCCACUACAUUCAGAGCAUACAGUAUACUAUAAUAGGUCUAAAAGCACUUUCUUUGUUAAGUCUGCAAGAUCAAGUUUCCAGCAGUACUGACUAGCCAACACUACCAAGAGAUCCUCAGUAUAAAAUGAAUAAACUUUUCACAGAUUUUUGGGUGAAGUGCUUCCUCUCUGAUUGUUCAUAAGGGAGACUCAGAAGACUUGUUGCCAGCCCUGGGAAUUAUACCACAAGCAGGGCGGCGAAUA